rnacentral:tRNA from 1 species
CCUGUGGCUCAGAGGAUAAAGUGUCUGCCUGCAACGCAGGAGACCCGGGUUCAAUCCCUGGAUCAGGA